CACGUAGGGCGCGAGCGUUGUCCGGAAUUAUUGGGCGUAAAGAGCUCGUAGGCGGCCUGUUGCGUCCGCUGUGAAAGCCCGGGGCUUAACCCCGGGUCUGCAGUGGAUACGGGCAGGCUAGAGGUAGGUAGGGGAGAAUGGAAUUCCCGGUGUAGCGGUGAAAUGCGCAGAUAUCGGGAGGAACACCGGUGGCGAAGGCGGUUCUCUGGGCCUUACCUGACGCUGAGGAGCGAAAGCGUGGGGGAGCGAACAGGG
rnacentral:rRNA from 1 species